UAUGGCCACAUCACAUAGGAAAACCAGUUCCCCUAUGGUUGCCAAAGUUAAGCAACGUCAAACCUGAUCAGUACCUAGAUGGGUGACCUCUUGGGAAUAGUUGGUGCUGUAAG